rnacentral:lncRNA from 1 species
GGGGCUAUCAGUCCAACUCCUCAGUUAAUAGCCAGGGAAACAGAAGCCCAGGGAGAUAAAGACGGUGGCAGAGGAGGAAUUCUUUCUUAGCAGAUCUUCCAUUCCUAAUCCAGGAUCAUUUCCAGGGCUCCCAGGUUCUCAAGAUGCUUGAAUCCUGGGACAAACACAGAGGAAGGAGCUCCUAAGGAUGGGGGCAGUGGUGAGGAAACAGGCCACUGAGACAGUGAUGGUGUUUGUAGGCAAAGAAGCUACUUGUAUUUGCCAACCACACCAGGAGGCCAGGAGAAAUCUUUUGCCACAUUUGGAGAAAGGAUUGAAGAGAAAUGAGAGCCUGGAUGUGAAGAAAACAUUAGGAAGCUGCAGCAGUAACCUAUGUGAGAAAUUAAGAGAACCUAAAUCAGAUCCGUUGGCCAUCAAGAUUUCACUCAUUUUGAGACCUAGAGAUUGGUGCUCCUGGAGCUGUGAAAUGCGUGGCCUCUGUAGCCCUGGCCCCAUCAGCAGAGGGAGGAGAAGAGGAGAAGCAGCUGGACAUCAGAGACUAUGGUUGGACAUUGGAGAGAAGCAGCUUGACUUCAAAGGGACGGCUUGAUGGCAUUGCUUCG